ensembl:snoRNA
UUGGCCCUGAAUCAAGGCUGGCAUCUUCCUAACGCUGUUGGUUUCAAACAGGAGCCUAAGAGAUGUCUUUCUAUGAUCUGUUGGCCAUUUCAGAACUUGGGCAGUGAAAUGGUCAAUCCAUUAGAAAGAAACAGCU